UACAGAGGUCCCGAGCGUUGUUCGGAUUCAUUGGGCGUAAAGGGUGCGUAGGCGGCGGGGCCAGUCUGAUGUGAAAUCCCGGGGCUCAACCCCGGAACUGCAUUGGAUACUGCCUUGCUCGAGUACUGGAGAGGGAACUGGAAUUUACGGUGUAGCAGUGAAAUGCGUAGAGAUCGUAAGGAAGGCCAGUGGCGAAGGCGACUACCUGGCCCAUUCUUGACGCUGAGGCGCGAAAGCUAGGGGAGCGAACGGG
rnacentral:rRNA from 1 species